AUUUACCGGAGGGAGAGCGGCCAGGGGUGAGGUUGGAGUGUGUCGUGAUGAGGUGUUGCGUGGAAGGCACAUGCGGGCCAAAUGUGUGAAUGGACGCGUGAAUGUGAGUGCGCAUAGUGCAUACAAGGCGAGGGCGUGUGCCCGCCCGGGUCCCUCCCCGCCGCCUUGGUCUUAUUUGAUGGGGUUGUGACUCCAGCCCCGCGGGACCGACCCGAAAUGAAAAGCUUAUCUCCUGCGAAGCCUUGUCUUGGGGCGCUGUGCGGCGAGGCCCAAUGGGCGGUGGCGAUGCCGAGGUCCAGGAGCCGAGCCUAUGGGGGCUGGCGCUCAGAAGUGAUGAAUUGAUCAAAUAGACGAGGCCGGGAAAUAAAGUUUUAAAAAACAAACAAACAAAAUAAAAAAUAUUUAUGGAAGACUUAGAGUCUACUCAUUCCUGA
rnacentral:snoRNA from 9 species